rnacentral:rRNA from 1 species
AGUGAACGCUGGCGGUAGGCCUAACACAUGCCAGUCGAACGGCAGCACAGUAAGAGCUUGCUCUUACGGGUGGCGAGUGGCGGACGGGUGAGGAAUACAUCGGAAUCUACUUUUUCGUGGGGGAUAACGUAGGGAAACUUACGCUAAUACCGCAUACGACCUACGGGUGAAAGCAGGGGGUCUUCGGACCUUGCGCGAUUGAAUGAGCCGAUGUCGGAUUAGCUAGUUGGCGGGGUAAAGGCCCACCAAGGCGACGAUCCGUAGCUGGUCUGAGAGGAUGAUCAGCCACACUGGAACUGAGACACGGUCCAGACUCCUACGGGAGGCAGCAGUGGGGAAUAUUGGACAAUGGGCGCAAGCCUGAUCCAGCCAUACCGCGUGGGUGAAGAAGGCCUUCGGGUUGUAAAGCCCUUUUGUUGGGAAAGAAAAGCAGCAGGUUAAUACCCCGCUGUUCUGACGGUACCCAAGGAAUAAGCACCGGCUAACUUCGUG